AUGAUCGUUUAUUUUUCUUUAAGAAUGCGUAUUUACAUGUCACGUACGUAGCUUCACAACCUCGACUGUUAUUUAGCCUUCAAGUCUCCUUACUGUUUGAGUGUCGCGAGGUAGCAUUGCGAAAGUCGACGGUGCUGUACGUGAGCAGAUUGUUGAAGAUUAUCAUUCUUGUUCGAGUCGAUUGUAUUUUAAGUGUCACUGCAGUGGUUCACGAAAUAACGGCCAGCCAUGCGUCGGACAGUUACCGGAUCACAUACACAUAUAAGAAAUAGACACGACGCCGCGACGGUGGUACCGCAAAAUUUUGAGUUAAAUAUACUAUUUCGAGUCGUUAAGUUUUAUAAGUUUUUUCUUUUUCAUAAAUAUGAAAAUGAAUACAAAAGUGUUCCUAUGUAACUUUAAGUACAGUGUGAAAAUAUCUUA